ensembl:misc_RNA Metazoa_SRP Metazoan signal recognition particle RNA
GCCAAGUAUAGUGGUGUGUGCCUGUAGUCCCAGCUACUUGGGAGGUUGAGGUGGGAGAAUUACUUGAGCCCAGGAGGUUGAGGCUGCAGUGAGCUGUUUUCACACCACUGCACUCUAGCCUGGGCAACAGAGUGAGAUCCUGUCUCAA